ACGGGAGGCAGCAGUGGGGAAUAUUGGACAAUGGGGGAAACCCUGAUCCAGCGACGCCGCGUGAGUGAAGAAGUAUUUCGGUAUGUAAAGCUCUAUCAGCAAGGAAGAAAAUGACGGUACUUGACUAAGAAGCUCCGGCUAAAUACGUGCCAGCAGCCGCGGUAAUACGUAUGGAGCAAGCGUUAUCCGGAUUUACUGGGUGUAAAGGGAGCGUAGACGGUUUUGCAAGUCAGAAGUGAAAGCCCGGGGCCCAACCCCGGAACUGCUUUUGAAACUGUAGAACUGGAGUGCAGGAGAGGUAAGUGGAAUUCCUAGUGUAGCGGUGAAAUGCGUAGAUAUUAGGAGGAACACCAGUGGCGAAGGCGGCUUACUGGACUGUAACUGACGUUGAGGCUCGAAGGCGUGGGGAGCAAACAGGAUUAGAUACCCUGGUA
rnacentral:rRNA from 1 species